GCAAGAAUGGCACAAUUACACAGAAGACAAACACUUUGACUCCCGUCAAUCUUCCAAGGGCAUUAUGUAUUCCAAUGAUCUGGCGAAUUAACAAGGUGAAGGAUAAAUUCGAGGUCUACAGAGCAUGCUUGAUGAUGCCGGAUGGCAAAAAAAAAAUGUACGCAAUUAAGUUAAUAAGUUGGAACACUGGAAAAUAAUAAUCUUCGAUUCUUGAGCAGGUCCUUGAAGCCCGUCCUUGCCUAAUAAUUGGCUCGUAUCGUUUUAUUAAAUUCCCUUUCCAACCCUAUGUUCAUCACCGGAGGAAAAACCAAAUAAAUGCAAAGAAUAGUAACUAUUAAAGUAAAAAGUGGCCAAUUGAACUUUUGAACAGCGUUUGAUGCGGUGUAGCAAUAAAUAUAGUUGUGCCGCUUAUAUUCAAUAAAGGUAAACGAAUUGGGUUUAAUGGAACAGAUCAGCAAAGUUCGACUCUGCACCCAACAAAAACGACAUUAAACCAGAAAUACAGGCUUGUAGUUAAUAAAUUAAACUGUACGUUACACGGUAAUAUUAUAACUUAAUCUGGUAAAUGGGGCCCAUUAUAUAUUAUAACAAAUUUGAUUGUAGUAUAGUAAUUUCCAAAGAAUAUAUUCUUAAUCCGUAAUAUCUGAUCUUAAUCCACAAUAAAUUAUUUGCAUAUUCUUUUUCGUAACAUUUAUGACCGUGGUGAUCAGAUAUUUAUCCGAAUCAUACCUCCGUGGUACAGUGAUUCAAAUUUCAAUCCGCAUAUUUUUGUAUAUUUGAAGAAUAUUAUCGCAAAUUUGACAUCUUUUUUAUUGCCUAGAAAAAGAAACAGAAAAAGAAAGUAGGCAUGAGAGGAAAAAGACAAAAUAUAGACAAUUUAAUAGCCUAAAAUUUUAUUCAGCAUUCAGUUAACUUUCCAGGAACAAAGACGUAAACAAACAUCACAAUAGAAUUCUUUUGAAAUCGGCAUUUUAUUUGAGACCCCUCAUUUUCAAAGCAUUUUUUGCCUUUCCUGAAAAAUUAAAACGAGUCCUACACGCAACAUCGGGCGGUUUGUAAAGCACACAAAGCCCUUCAAGGCUUUGUUCGGUUUCUGUAAUUUUAUGCUUUUUAUGUAAAAAUUUCUGUAUUAAAAUUAUAACAAUUUAAAACAAUAUUUCAUCGGAUUUUGAAUAGACCUGAGCAGGCUUCAGUUACUAUUUACGUUAACAUUAACGAGUCAAUUAUUGAAUUUCAUCAAACGUUUAUCUGAUUUUCUGUAGAAUAUGGUUGUGUUUAAAAUAAAAAUAAACUAAUUAUUUUUUAAAUUUCACUGUAUUGUUUUAAAGAAGACUCCAGUAUGUUUGUCAUUUCCCAGAAUAUUGUAGUCUGGACAAAAGUAUUUGGAAAAAAUAAGUUUAAUUUGAAUGCUUCUUAAACCAAUACACAAUUUUGUCCGCACAAGUUCAAAAUUAAGCCCACAUUAAGAUAUAUAAUACUCAGUUCUAUACAAAAAAUAAAUAAUGUUAAAAUCUUAACGCUAAAGGAAAUUAGAAACGUAAAAAUAGAAACGUGUAUAGAAAUAGCUCCUAUUAAUAAACUUGUGAAAAUAACUUCAAUACAUUUUGACUUCACUUUUCAUUAUCAUUCAUUUUAUCGUCUUUUGCUUUAAGAAAUGUACAAUAGAGCACGUGUAAAAAUUAGAAUUCGUCUUUGUAGGUGGUUUUGUAAUAUAUAUAAUUUUUAAAGGUAAAAUUUAAAGAUAUUGAAUUGCCACUACAAACUUGAACAUGCAUGAAAGUCU